CUUUACAAAUUACCUCGACUAACCUGUACCCAGGUACAUUGACUCGGUACCGGUACCCCCUGUAUAUAGCCUCGUUAUUGUUAUGUAAUUUUCUUGUGUUAUUUAAAAAAUGUUUUACUUUAGUUAAUUUACUAAAUACUCUAUUUAUUGAACUGCAUUGUUGGUUAAGGGGCUUGUACGUAAGCAUAUUGCUGUAAGGUCUACACCUCUUGUAUUCGGAGCAUGUGACGAAUAACAUUUUAUUUUAUUUUAUUUUAUUUGACAAUGAGCUUACUGUUGGUAAAUGGAAUGAGUAGAAGGGAGAGUCGGUCAAGGACUGAUUCGGACAAGGCGCUAAAUUAUAUGACAAGCGAUAGUUUAUUCAGAGUGAAGAUAUUUGGUACAGCGUGCACGGACUCGUUCCAGUAGCUCUGAGGGAGCCAGCGGAAGAGAGCCCCUAAAACAGUUUGUUUACAUGUUUUAUACAACACAGAAAGUAGGUUGAGUCUUGAAGUCCUGGUCCUCUGGUUGGCUCAGGUCCAGGUGUUGUCACCGUCGAUUGGCUCCAUCUGUUCAUGCGUCUUCCUGCGAUCUUGCGCAAUGUUCUGAUGAUGUUGAGUUUCUAUCAAAGCUCUAAAUCUGGGUGUGAGUGCCUUGGAUAAGCUAUGGCAUAUAUGUGUGUGUGUGUGUGUGUGUUCCUGUUUUCACAGGGUCGAGCAUGCCAGACACUGUUGCUGUUAUCACGAGAUGGGGCCCCCGUAGGCUUGUGGUUGGGCCAGUUCCUGUUAUGUGCUGCAAGUGGAAACAUCAGUUUGCUUGUGUAAGCUGCAUUGAGACAUAACUAGUUGGUUAGUGGAAAACAUGUGUAAUAGCUGCAAUUCAUGGUAAUAACGUUUGUUAGCUUGGUGCAUGUUAGAGGCACACUAAGUAGAAAAUCUUACAAAUUCUUACAUUACUGACAGUAAGAUCAUGUCCAAAAGAGGGGGGAAGGCAAAUCUUAGCAUCAUUUCAACGGCAUACUCCAAAACUGGUUGGCUGACUUCAGCUUUUCAGCAGUCAGCCUUUAUCUCGAUUUACACACCCUGCAUCUGAACUUCUGAACGGGGAGGGGCAACAGAAACAAAUGACUGGAGAAAAAGAAACACUACUUAAGCAGCCAUUUUGGAUACAGUCACAGACGGUGUACUGUUUCAUUGCAUAACAGAUUUACAUUCAAGGAGAUAUCCAUAGACAGACACGAUUUAGCUUCCAAAUCUCACAUCCUGGGACUACGGUAAGGAAAUAGCCUAAUUUAACACGGAAGGCUUUUGGACAGUUUGCCCAUGUUUUAACAAUGNNNNNNNNNNNNNNNNNNNNCCCACUAACUGACAAUACUUUUCUAUAAACUCCCAACACCAACUUAUUCAAUACAAAGUGAUUCACAGACUACACUAUUUCACUAUUACAAAUUACACUCGUUUUACCCCUCGGUCUCUCUGAUAUGUUACUCAAAAGUAUACAGCUGCAGUGGCGAUUUUAACAUGUAAAUCUUUGUGGGUCCAACAUUUUUUUUUUACAAACUAUGGCGUAAGAGGACAACAAGCGGAUAAGAGGCAAUCCGUAAUUUAAAGAAAUUGAACCCUGUGGCACCCCCAUAGAGAAUGCCAGUCCGGACCUCUGGCAGUCUCUAUGGGGGUGCCACAGGGUUCAAUUCUCGGGUCGACUCUCUUCUCUGUAUACAUCAAUGAUGUCGCUCCCGCUGCUGGUGAUUCUCUGAUCCACCUCUACGCAGACGACACCAUUCUGUAUACUUUUGGACCUUUGGCAGUUUCAAUGCAAUAAUUUCAAUAUUUCAAACAUACGACUAUUUUACACCAUUUGAAAGAUAAGACUCUCGUUAAUCUAACCACAUUGUCCGAUUUCAAAAAGGCUUUACAGCGAAAGCAAAACAUU
rnacentral:lncRNA from 8 species